UGUACGGAACUUGCCAGAGAUGGCUUGGUGCUCGAAAGAGAGCCGUAACACAGGUGCUGCAUGGCUGUCGUCAGCUCGUGUCGUGAGAUGUUGGGUUAAGUCCCGCAACGAGCGCAACCCUUGUCAUUAGUUGCUACGAAAGGGCACUCUAAUGAGACUGCCGGUGACAAACCGGAGGAAGGUGGGGAUGACGUCAAGUCCUCAUGGCCCUUAUGGGUAGGGCUACACACGUCAUACAAUGGCCGGUACAAAGGGCAGCCAACCCGCGAGGGGGGAGCCAAUCCCGUAAAGCCGGUCGUAGUCCGGAUCGCAGUCUGCAACUCGACUGCGUGAAGUCGGAAUCACUAGUAAUCGUGGAUCAGCAUGUCACGGUGAAUACGUUCCCGGGUCUU
rnacentral:rRNA from 1 species